rnacentral:rRNA from 1 species
AACGAACGCUGGCGGCAUGCCUAACACAUGCAAGUCGAACGAGACCUUCGGGUCUAGUGGCGCACGGGUGCGUAACGCGUGGGAACCUGCACGUAGGUUCGGAAUAACUCCCCGAGAGGGGUGCUAAUACCGGAUAAUGUCUUCGGACCAAGGAUUUAUCGCCUUUGGAUGGGCCCGCGUUGGAUUAGCUAGUUGGUAGGGUAAAAGCCUACCAAGGCGACGAUCCAUAGCUGGUCUGAGAGGAUGAUCAGCCACACUGGGACUGAGACACGGCCCAGACUCCUACGCGAGGCAGCAGUGGGGUAUAUUGGACAAUGGGCGAAAGUCUGAUCCAGCAACGCCGCGUGAGUGAUGAAUGCCUUAGGAUUGUAAAUCUGUCUUACCCGGGAUGAUAAUGACAGUACCGGGAGAAUAAGCACCGGCUAACUCCGUG